rnacentral:lncRNA from 1 species
CCCGCUAUCCCUGUACCCGCUCCUGAGGGCUCACACAGUUUUUUAACCCACAGUGCACACCUUUGGCGUUCUGACCUAUGCUGCAGCUUUAGGACGUGGGGCUUCACAUCCACAACGCAGCGAUCAAAUUCGGCAUCCAGCUCUUUCCAUGUUUCCUCUUCACCAUUCAUUUUGAUAGAUACCACAGCACAACCUCGCAGGCCGCGGCUCAGGCCGCGCUCUGAGGGGGCCUCGCGCUGGCCGGGCCGGGCCGGCGGCUCCCGCUCCCCCUCGGCGGGGAAAGGCCCGCGUGGAGCCGGCCCGGCCGAGCGGCCAACGGUUCAAACCGACCCCACCCCCGCUCCCGGCGGCCUCCGCUGACAGCACGGCCCGGAGCUUCCGUUUCCGCGGGCCGCGCUGUGCGGCGGAAUGGCCGGGCGGGUCGGGUCGGGUCGGGCCUGGCCGGGGUUCGGUUCGUGUCGCGCGGGCACGAACUGUGGUGGUGCUGCUCCGGAAGAGCUCCGACAGCGUUGGGUAGCGCGCCUGAAUUUGAUGUGGAUACUUCUGCUUGUGUGGCACGUGCUGUAGAAAAUGAAGUCCCGGGUUUAGGAGUGCAAAGGUGUAAACUGAAGGUGGUCCUGCUGUGCUGCCGAAUUACUGUCAGUGCAUGCAGUGACGGAUAGCAGCCUGACAGCCUGCAGCUGGCAGCAUUGCCACAGGCCGAGGUGCAGCUCCGGGCAGUCCCACACAUGGGUCUCAUGGCAGUGAAGGAGCUCUGUGGGAGGCUGGCGUGUCACUAACAAGUGGUGCAGUCACUGCUAUGCCCUGCGCUCCUCCACCCAACAAUGCAUCAUUUGUACACACGUAGAAUAUCGUGAGUUGGAAGGGACACAAAAGGAUCACCAAGUCCAGCUGCUGGUUCCUCACAGGACACCCCAAAAAUCCAGCUCUUUCUGAGCGUGUUGUCCAGACACUUCUUGAGCUCCAGCAGCUCGAUGCCACGACUGCUGCCAGAGCAGCCUGUACUAUGCCCGCCGCCCUCUGCUGAAGAACCUUUUCCAGUUAUCCAGCCUGGCCUUCCCCUGCCACAGCUUCACCACUCCGUCAUGUUCUAUUGCUGUUAUCAAAGCAAAGAUCAGCACUGCCCCUGCACUCCCCUUUGUGAGGGAGCUGAAGAUCGCAAUGAGGCCUCCCCUCAGUUUCCUCUUCUCUAGGCUGAACAGUAUAUCUAUGCAUACUGCUGUGAACACACAUUAAAAACAUAAAGAGGGCCCAGCAGAAGCUGAGGUGGCACCCAUGGAGAAGCAGGAGACGCCAGGCAUUCCAUGAGGUCCCCCAGGAACCUUGCACAGGGGACAUGCCAGGUGCCUCAGCGCUGUGCUGCAGCCUGCAUCCUAAAAGCAAGGACAUUAAAGAAGUGGAAGGUAAUUCUUGGGUGUGUUGCAUUCUUUAUUUUAAUUGCUGCUAGCUGGAUACCAGCUGGAAUUAUUUUUAGCUGUUACUGUUUGGACCAUGUCUUCAUUAUGAUUAAGAACUGGAAAUAGAUAGAUUUUUCCAACACAGUAAGACUACCAGGAGACUGACUUGCUCUGAUAGCUGAACUGCUGAAAUUUCCGCCUCUGAAUCAUCACCUACAAUGCCCAGAUUUGUCAUGGGAAUUUUGUAAUCAUAAUGAAACUGAUCUGCUCAAGUCAGUCCAACACAGAGGAGAGAGUCUGGUUACUGAGCAGGCUAUGGGAAGUUUGAUGGGUGUCACAACACAUCUCUUUCCAGGUAGGCUUUUCAAGGGCAGUAUAUUGGCUGGGUUACAUGGUGAGGCUUGCAUUUCUCUUCACUACCACAGGCCCUUUUUUCUGUUGUUUUAAUCUGAUAUUUGAAAAGGGGAUUUUUAAGCCAACUCUUUUG